GAAAUUGAGACACAGUGACUCC
rnacentral:siRNA from 1 species